AAUGGGCGAAAGCCUGACGGAGCAACGCCGCGUGAGUGAUGAAGGUCUUCGGAUCGUAAAACUCUGUUAUUAGGGAAGAACAUAUGUGUAAGUAACUGUGCACAUCUUGACGGUACCUAAUCAGAAAGCCACGGCUAACUACGUGCCAGCAGCCGCGGUAAUACGUAGGUGGCAAGCGUUAUCCGGAAUUAUUGGGCGUAAAGCGCGCGUAGGCGGUUUUUUAAGUCUGAUGUGAAAGCCCACGGCUCAACCGUGGAGGGUCAUUGGAAACUGGAAAACUUGAGUGCAGAAGAGGAAAGUGGAAUUCCAUGUGUAGCGGUGAAAUGCGCAGAGAUAUGGAGGAACACCAGUGGCGAAGGCGACUUUCUGGUCUGUAACUGACGCUGAUGUGCGAAAGCGUGGGGAUCAAACAGGAUUAGAUACCCUGGUAGUCCACGCCGUAAACGA
rnacentral:rRNA from 1 species